rnacentral:rRNA from 1 species
GACGAACGCUGGCGGCGUGCUUAACACAUGCAAGUCGAACGGAAAGGCCCUGCUUUUGUGGGGUGCUCGAGUGGCGAACGGGUGAGUAACACGUGAGUAACCUGCCCUUGACUUUGGGAUAACUUCAGGAAACUGGGGCUAAUACCGGAUAGGAGCUCCUGCAGCAUGGUGGGGGUUGGAAAGUUUCGGCGGUUGGGGAUGGACUCGCGGCUUAUCAGCUUGUUGGUGGGGUAGUGGCUUACCAAGGCUUUGACGGGUAGCCGGCCUGGGAGGGUGACCGGCCACAUUGGGCCUGAGGUACGGCCCAGACUCCUACGGGAGGCAGCGGUGGGGAGUAUUGCACAGUGGGAGGGAGCCUGAUGCAACAGCGCCGCGUGCGGAAUGACGGCCUUCGGGUUGUAAACCGCUGUCGCCUGUGACGAAGCGUGAGUGACGGUAAUGGGUAAAGAAGCACCGGCUAACUACGUG